UACGAAGGGGGCUAGCGUUUCUCGGAAUCACUGGGCGUAAAGCGCACGUAGGCGGCUUCUUAAGUCAGGGGUGAAAUCCUGGGGCUCAACCCCAGAACUGCCCUUGAUACUGAGGAGCUUGAGUCCGGGAGAGGUGAGUGGAACUCCGAGUGUAGAGGUGAAAUUCGUAGAUAUUCGGAAGAACACCAGUGGCGAAGGCGGCUUCCUGGACCGACACUGACGCUAAGGCGCGAAAGCUAGGGGAGCAAACGGG
rnacentral:rRNA from 1 species